CAGGAAAUAGUUUAUAAAAAAUUUUAAUUUUGGAGAUUAAAGAUGGGGAUGUCUUCUUUCCUGA
rnacentral:tRNA from 1 species